rnacentral:lncRNA from 1 species
CAGAUGAUAGAUUGGUAUUUACUUACUACUCUGACAAAAGAUUAAAAGUUUUCAGUGAUAAAGGAUCAAAAGACUUUGAGAUCAAGAUGCCGUGUAAGCCGUUUGAUAUAGUAUACAUCAGUGAAGACAAUUCAUUGGCUGUAUCAUCUCCUGGUUUAGAAAAGCAUUGUAUAACUAUUAUAGACCUGAAGAAGAAACAAAUCAAGAAAAUAAUUUCACUAGAUUUGUACAGUUAUGGCCUUGCACUGAAAGAUAAUCGAUUGAUUUAUUCCGGUAGCAACAAAGGAAUACGAAUGAUCAAUCUAACCGACGAGUCUAUAAGUGACAUAGUCCGAGAACAAAUGCCCGUUGACUGCUACAUUGCAACUUUUAGAGACAACAUAUAUCAUACAAACAACGAUAAACACACUGUUAUUUGUUAACUUUUAAGGUAAAAAACGAUGACAUUUCAUAACGAAAGAGUUCUAAAGAGCUCGUGUAUUGAUGUAGAUAAUGAUGGUAAUGUUUACGUGGUGGGAGCGGAUCGAAUAAUUUGGUAGUUAUCUCCC